GUCAGCAGCCGCGGGAACACCGGCGGCCCGAGUGGUGAUCGUGAUUAUUGGGUCUAAAGGGUCCGUAGCCGGUUUGGUCAGUCCUCCGGGAAAUCUGAUAGCUCAACUAUAGGCUUCGGGGGAUACCGCCAGACUUGGAACCGGGAGAGGUAAGAGGUACUACAGGGGUAGGAGUGAAAUCUUGUAAUCCCUGUGGGACCACCUGUGGCGAAGGCGUCUUACCAGAACGGGUUCGACGGUGAGGGACGAAAGCUGGGGGCACGAACCGGAUUAGAUACCCGGGUAGUCCCAGCCGUAAACGAUGCUCGCUAGGUGUCAGGCAUGGCGCGACCGUGUCUGGUGCCGCAGGGAAGCCGUGAAGCGAGCCACCUGGGAAGUACGGCCGCAAGGCUGAAACUUAAAGGAAUUGGCGGGGGAGCACAACAACGGGUGGAAGCCUGCGGUUUAAUUGGACUCAACGCCGGACAACUCACCGGGGGCGACAGCAAUAUGUAGGCCAAGCUGAAGACUUUGCCUGAAUCGCUGAGGGGUGGUGCAUGG
rnacentral:rRNA from 1 species